rnacentral:pre_miRNA from 1 species
GUUUGACUCUUCGUCUUAUUAAAAAAAAUUACGAUUAAUAAUUUUAUUUUUAUUAGAUGAUAAAAUAUGAAUAGUACUUCAUGUGUGACUAAUUUUUUUAAAAUUUUUUGAAAAUUUUUCAAAUAAGACGGAUGGUCAAAC